rnacentral:rRNA from 1 species
GAGGGAAAGGUGAAAAGAACCCUAAGUAAGGGAGUGAAAGAGAACCUGAAACCGUACGCCUACAAGCGGUCGGAGCACAUUUACUGUGUGACGGCGUGCCUUUUGCAUAAUGAGCCUACGAGUUACUGUUACUAGCAAGGUUAAGAUUUUAAGGAUCGGAUCCGAAGCGAAAGCGAGUCUGAAUAGGGCGACGUAGUUAGUAGUAGUAGACGCGAAACCCGGUGAUCUACCCAUGAGCAGGUUGAAGUUCCAGUAACAUGGAAUGGAGGACCGAACCCGUUGACGUUGAAAAGUCUUGGGAUGACUUGUGGGUAGGGGUGAAAGGCCAAUCAAACCCGGAAAUAGCUCGUACUCCCCGAAAUGCAUUUAGGUGCAGCGUUCAGGUAGAGUAUUAUAGAGGUAGAGCUACUGAUAGGGCUAGGGGGCUUCACCGCCUACCAACCCCUGACAAACUCCGAAUGCUAUCAAAUAUACACGGCAGUGAGGGCAUGGGUGCUAAGGUCCAUGUCCGAAAGGGAAACAACCCAGACCAUCAGCUAAGGUCCCCAAAUAUAUGUUAAGUUGAAUAAACGAGGUUGAACUGCUUUGACAGCUAGGAUGUUGGCUUGGAAGCAGCCAUUCAUUUAAAGAGUGCGUAACAGCUCACUAGUCGAGC